UAAGGAGGGUGCCAGCGUUACUCGGACUCCCUGGGCGUAACGGAUGCGUAGGCUGGAAAUCAAGUCGAGAGUGAAAUCCAACGGCUCAACCGUUGAACUGCUCUCGAAACUGGUUACCUAGAAUAUGGGAGAGGUAGAUGGAAUUAGUGGUGUAGGGGUAAAAUCCGUAGAUAUCACUAGGAAUACCGAUUGCGAAGGCGAUCUACUGGAACAUUAUGGACGCUGAGGCAUGAAAGCGGGGGGAGCAAACAGGAUGAGAUACCCGCGGAGUCC
rnacentral:rRNA from 1 species